UUAAGUUCAGCGGGUAUUCCUACCUGAUCCGAGGUCAACAUUCAGAAGUUGGGGGGUUUACGGCGUGGCCGCGCCGCGUCCCACUGCGAGGUGUUGCUACUACGCAGAGGAGCCUACGGCGCGACCGCCACUGAGUUUCGGGGCCGGCCGCCGGGGCGGGGCCGAUCCCCAACACCAAGCCCGGAGGGGCCUGAGGGUUG
rnacentral:misc_RNA from 1 species